rnacentral:lncRNA from 1 species
UUGCUUUAUUUUGUUCCAUCAAAAAUAUUGUUUUAAGCCUCUGUACAUCUUUGUACUGUCAGGAUGAAUAGAGAAACGAGAUUUAUAAGCUUCCUCUAAAAUUUUCUUCUUCAGUUCAGGAUCUCUAGGUAUAUAUAAUAUGUUCCCAAAAUAUAGAAUACCAUUUGAAUGAAUUCUAAGCUUAGGUUGCAACCCUUUCUCCAUGUCUUCUUUGAACUGACAUAAACGAAUAUCAUUCCGUUAGGUAGCUUUUAUCCAUUUAAUCAAUGUUGAUUGUACCAUUAAAUUGGCUAAUACAUUCUU